GAACGAAGAGAGCUGUGUCUGAAUCCACUGUCGUCACGGAGUUAAAGGCAGUGAAUUCCAUUAAAAUGAUGGAGGAGGUGGAGAUUUGAGAAGCGCUACGCACGGGAGGUCCGGUCCAGA